rnacentral:rRNA from 1 species
UCUUGAUACUGACCACUCACCAGCGGCGGAGGGUGAGUAACACGUGGGUAACCUGCCUGUAAGACUGGGAUAACUCCGGGAAACCGGGGCUAAUWCCGGAUGCUURUUUGAACCGCAUGGUUCAAAYAUAAAAGGUGGCUUCGGCUACCACUUACAGAUGGACCCGCGGCGCAUUAGCUAGUUGGUGAGGUAACGGCUCACCAAGGCAACGAUGCGUAGCCGACCUGAGAGGGUGAUCGGCCACACUGGGACUGAGACACGGCCCAGACUCCUACGGGAGGCAGCAGUAGGGAAUCUUCCGCAAUGGACGAAAGUCUGACGGAGCAACGCCGCGUGAGUGAUGAAGGUUUUCGGAUCGUAAAGCUCUGUUGUUAGGGAAGAACAAGUACCGUUCGAAUAGGGCGGUACCUUGACGGUACCUAACCAGAAAGCCACGGCUAACUACGUGCCAGCAGCCGCGGUAAUACGUAGGUGGCAAGCGUUGUCCGGAAUUAUUGGGCGUAAAGGGCUCGCAGGCGGUUUCUUAAGUCWGAUCGUUSAAUAAAGCCSMYGGCUCAACCGGGGAGGGUCAUUGGAAACUGG